AAAAUACAAAAAAAAAAAAAAAAAAAAAAAGAAAAAAGAAAAAAAAAAAAAAAAAAGAAUCAGCCGGAAGAAGAAAUUUGAACGGAGGAGGACAGCCCACAUUGACGCGAUCGUUUCGCUCGAAUGCUGACGCGGGUCUCAGCCGCGAGCAACGAUCACGAAAUCGCUUCGCCUCGGCUGGCACGAGGCGUAACGACAGCGUCCAACGAUGGACCAUCCUCUGCAAGAGAGACAGAGAGGAGAGCAUCGUCGUCGUUACCAUUGUCGCUUUUCUCCCUUACCUCGCCCCCCUCGUUGUUUGUCGUUCGAUCGGCCACAGAUUGGCGCGUCCCUGACUCGAAUACGGAGGGAACGAAUCUCUUCACCAAGUACCUGUACACUAUCCCGGGUGGACUUUGCCUUCGGCCAGGUCCUCCCCCCCCCCCCCCUCCCCUCUUUAUUAUUGUAAUAUAUAGAACGAGAGAACGAAAACCGACGCGACUCGAGGAAACGCAGGACUAAGUCUCAUCUCGCCUCAGCGAUAGGAUCCUAUCUUGACAUAUCAGUUACACGGUAACAAGCGGCCAAGGCCGUAAUAUUCCGACGAUCCCGGAGGAUCUUCUACGCAGCCAGCUGACCCUCGGUCGAUCCACGAAGAGAUCGAUGCCCCGUUUCUUCGAUCGGAGCAUUCUCGUACUGGCUACAUUCUGGCUGGGUCUUGUCGUACAGGCCCAAUUGGUUAAUUCUAAAGGAGAGGGAGAGAGAGAGAGAGAGAGAGAGAGAG